ACGGGGUUUUACCCACCAACUACCGUCCGUCCGUCCGUCCGUCGGCACCCCACAGGCGUACGUACCUGCGGCAUAUGCAACUAUGCAAAGGAUCGAUUAUGUGCCAAUGUGGCAGUGGCACACUGGGAUCGUGGGAAGCAGCUGUUCUUCGAGUCGGGCCCGGCCUCGCGCGUGGGCGCGGUCGAUCCGGCUUCCCCGUGCCUGCUGCCGCACGGCGACACGCCCCGGCUCCGGCUCCGGCUCCCGCUCGUGCGGUUCUCUUCUCCUCCGACCAGGCUGGCUCUGCCCAGCUGCUGCCCGUACGUAGCGGCAUGCAGCCCACUCGUGGGAUCGCCACACGGUUAACAGGAGGAGUCGAUAAGCUCGCAGUUCAUGACUGGUAUAUAUAGAAGAGAGGAACACUCCAAAAUACCAAGUGCAGUGAGCCAGUGACAUGUCACCUACUCACCCUAGCUCGCUAGUACGGACAUGCGUGCGUAUCCGCUGGGGACAUGAGACACCGUUCUUUUGUUCAGAUCAUGGUCGGGGCUCCCUUCUCCCCCCUGAAUUUGCGCCAGGAAAAGAGAAUUGCCUGAAUGCUAAUAUCCAAGGGUGAGCCCCCUCUGUCCAUUUGACAAGUGGACAAUGUUUGGAGAAGUUUUGAACAAAUGGGAACUUCCUAUACUCUCUCCGGAAGAAACGGGUGGACUACUUUUGGACAAUGGGGGUAAUUUGAUCAUGGACCCCGUAUGAAGAAAAGUGAACAAAUGGGAGGAUUUCCUUGGAGAUGCCAGUGUGAAGAUAAAAGUUGAGAAUUGCCGGCCUAUAUAUUUGGAUGUGCUUUUGCGCUUCACCCCAUUGAUGGUUGCAGAAAAUGUACAACAGCACAAAGCAACGGUGGAUUCCACCUCUCUCUCUGUGAUUACUGAAAGACAGAGAAGAAACCAAACCUCCACAUUUACAGUUAGACAACACACGCCAGCAGCAUAUAUCGCGUUGCGGCCUUGCGGGCAUGCAGUAGACGACGAGGCCACGACGUACGCAAAGCACGCAGGCUCUCGAACUGGUCACUGUGGAGUUCGGUCGGGCGUCCACUUCAGCGUCCUUUCCUCUCAUCGCUCCAGAAUGUCUAAUCAAUUCCUAGGUUGGUCCCACCGUCCAUGUCAUCCACUCAGACGCAGACUGCCCGAUUGAUUAACUAGACCUAAUCAGGCACAAACGCCCGCCUAAAGCUGCAAAAUACCCAUUCAGUUCGGCUAAGCAUACCAGCAUGGAAGCCAUCCUAUAUCCUACCUAAUCAAACGGAUAUGAUAUGCAUGGGAUUUGGGAAUAAGGUUCAGCGUGUUGACUACUUGAUGAAGUUCAACUUCAACGCAAGUAGAGAUACUCCUGCAACGUUGAUCCAUGCAUGAUUAACCGAGAAGGGCUUUGCAAGUUCUGUUGCAGGAGGAAUGAUGCUGAUUAAUUAACCGCAAGGCAUAUGUUUGGAACGCAGGAAAUUUUAAACAAGAUAUAUCUCGGAAAAAUGGUCACACGGAAGUUGGAUGUUGAAUGUCUCGAUCAGUGAACUGAGGUUCCGGAAGAAUGUCGUAUAGUUCCUUCCCUAACAACCGUUGUUGAGUCGGCCGGGAAGCUCGUGGAGAUCCCUUUCGGACUCGCCAUUUUGCAUGCCCCGAAGACGGAAACCGGGCCUGAUCCGAAGAGCGGGAUCACAUGAUCCAAUGCGUGCCGCUCGUUGCACCAUAAAAGCGGCGGGUGUAGUUAU